AGUGAACGCUGGCGGUAGGCCUAACACAUGCAAGUCGAACGGCAGCACAGUAAGAGCUUGCUCUUACGGGUGGCGAGUGGCGGACGGGUGAGGAAUACUUCGGAAUCUACUUUUUCGUGGGGGAUAACGUAGGGAAACUUACGCUAAUACCGCGUACGACCUACGGGUGAAAGCAGGGGAUCUUCGGACCUUGCGCGAUUGAAUGAGCCGAUGUCGGAUUAGCUAGUUGGCGGGGUAAAGGCCCACCAAGGCGACGAUCCGUAGCUGGUCUGAGAGGAUGAUCAGCCACACUGGAACUGAGACACGGUCCAGACUCCUACGGGAGGCAGCAGUGGGGAAUAUUGGACAAUGGGCGCAAGCCUGAUCCAGCCAUACCGCGUGGGUGAAGAAGGCCUUCGGGUUGUAAAGCCCUUUUGUUGGGAAAGAAAAGCAGCAGGUUAAUACCCCGCUGUUCUGACGGUACCCAAAGAAUAAGCACCGGCUAACUUCGUG
rnacentral:rRNA from 1 species